AUUGAACGCUGGCGGCAGGCCUAACACAUGCAAGUCGAGCGGAUGACGGGAGCUUGCUCCUUGAUUCAGCGGCGGACGGGUGAGUAAUGCCUAGGAAUCUGCCUGGUAGUGGGGGACAACGUUUCGAAAGGAACGCUAAUACCGCAUACGUCCUACGGGAGAAAGCAGGGGACCUUCGGGCCUUGCGCUAUCAGAUGAGCCUAGGUCGGAUUAGCUUGUUGGUGAGGUAAUGGCUCACCAAGGCGACGAUCCGUAACUGGUCUGAGAGGAUGAGCAGUCACACUGGAACUGAGACACGGUCCAGACUCCUACGGGAGGCAGCAGUGGGGAAUAUUGGACAAUGGGCGAAAGCCUGAUCCAGCCAUGCCGCGUGUGUGAAGAAGGUCUUCGGAUUGUAAAGCACUUUAAGUUGGGAGGAAGGGUUGUAGAUUAAUACUCUGCAAUUUUGACGUUACCGACAGAAUAAGCACCGGCUAACUCUGUGCCAGCCGCCGCCGUAAGAC
rnacentral:rRNA from 1 species